UUUUUUUUGUGCCAUAGAGGAAUGAACCAAUACCCUAAGCAUGUUGGCAUCUCUAUUGUGGGAAAUUUUAACCUGGAGAGAAGAUUAUAGGAAAUAUGAUUCUGCCAUCCCAAGUCGUGGUUUGAGUAGUGACCGUGGUUUCCAUCUCUGUGCCGAGUGCCGUCCAGAGCUGGGAUGUGAGCAGUUAAGAUGCUCUCAGUGACGGGGAUACAGAUGCCUGGAGAUGGUCAGAAAUGAGAACAUGAGAACUCCAUGAAGAUGUGUGUGUCGUGUGUGUGUGCGCGGGUGGAACACACCGACAUGGAACCCACCGACACAGAGGCUCGACUGUACUAGGCCAUUUCACCUAAGGGACUUGAGCAUCCUUGAAUUUUGGCAACAGUGGGGGUUCCU